GCCUCCAUGGUUCAGUUGGUUAACGAGCUGUAACACAGCCAUCCGAUGUGGGAGAUGUCCCAUGGGAUGGUCGAGGGUUCGAUUCCCUCUGGAGGCA